CUGGUGGAUUAGUGGCGAACGGGUGAGUAACACGUGAGUAACCUGCCCUUAACUCUGGGAUAAGCCUGGGAAACUGGGUCUAAUACCGGAUAUGACUCCUCAUCGCAUGGUGGGGGGUGGAAAGCUUUUUUGUGGUUUUGGAUGGACUCGCGGCCUAUCAGCUUGUUGGUGAGGUAAUGGCUUACCAAGGCGACGACGGGUAGCCGGCCUGAGAGGGUGACCGGCCACACUGGGACUGAGACACGGCCCAGACUCCUACGGGAGGCAGCAGUGGGGAAUAUUGCACAAUGGGCGGAAGCCUGAUGCAGCGACGCCGCGUGAGGGAUGACGGCCUUCGGGUUGUAAACCUCUUUCAGUAGGGAAGAAGCGAAAGUGACGGUACCUGCAGAAGAAGCGCCGGCUAACUACGUGCCAGCAGCCGCGGUAAUACGUAGGGCGCAAGCGUUAUCCGGAAUUAUUGGGCGUAAAGAGCUCGUAGGCGGUUUGUCGCGUCUGCCGUGAAAGUCCGGGGCUCAACUCCGGAUCUGCGGUGGGUACGGGCAGACUAGAGUGAUGUAGGGGAGACUGGAAUUCCUGGUGUAGCGGUGAAAUGCGCAGAUAUCAGGAGGAACACCGAUGGCGAAGGCAGGUCUCUGGGCAUUAACUGACGCUGAGGAGCGAAAGCAUGGGGAGCGAACAGGAUUAGAUACCCUGGUAGUCCAUGCCGUAAACGUUGGGCACUAGGUGUGGGGGACAUUCCACGUUUUCCGCG
rnacentral:rRNA from 1 species